rnacentral:rRNA from 1 species
AAUGAACGUUGGCGGCGUGGAUUAGGCAUGCAAGUCGCGCGAGAAGUCAUUUAGCUUGCUAAAAGACGGACAGCGGCGGAAGGGAGAGUAACGCGUGGUUAUGUACCUUCGAGACCGGGAUAGUGUCGGGAAACUGGCAGUAAUACCGGAUAACAUCUUCGGAUCAAAUGGUGUGAUUCCGCUCGAGGAUCGGACCGCGUACUAUUAGCUAGUUGGAGGGGUAAUGGCCCACCAAGGCUUAGAUGGUUACCGGGUGUGAGAGCAUGGCCCGGCUCACUGGGACUGAGACACUGCCCAGACAUCUACGGAUGGCUGCAGUCGAGAAUCUUCGGCAAUGGACGAAAGUCUGACCGAGCGACGCCGCGUGCGGAAUGAAGGCCUUCGGGUUGUAAACCGCUGUCAGUUAGGAGGAAAUCCAUGAGGGUUCUCUCUCAUGGUUGACCGAUUUUCAGAGGAAGGACGGGCUAAGUUCGUGCCAGCAGCCGCCGUAAUAC